GUGGGGAAUCUUCCGCAAUGGACGAAAGUCUGACGGAGCAACGCCGCGUGAGUGAUGAAGGUCUUCGGAUUGUAUAGCUCUGUUAAUCGGGACGAAAGAGCCUAGUGUGAAUAAUGCUAGGAAGUGACGGUACCGGAAUAGAAAGCCACGGCUAACUACGUGCCAGCAGCCGCGGUAAUACGUAGGUGGCAAGCGUUGUCCGGAAUUAUUGGGCGUAAAGCGCGCGCAGGCGGAUCUGCCAGUCUGUCUUAAAAGUUCGGGGCUUAACCCCGUGAUGGGAUGGAAACUACAGAUCUAGAGUAUCGGAGAGGAAAGUGGAAUUCCUAGUGUAGCGGUGAAAUGCGUAGAUAUUAGGAAGAACACCAGUGGCGAAGGCGACUUUCUGGACGAAAACUGACGCUGAGGCGCGAAAGCCAGGGGAGCGAACGGGAUUAGAUACCCGAGUAGUCC
rnacentral:rRNA from 1 species